UUGUAAACCUCUGUCACUGGGGAAGAAACGCUUCAAGUUAACAGCUUGAAGCCUGACUUAACCCGGAGAGGAAGCAGUGGCUAACUCUGUGC
rnacentral:rRNA from 1 species